UACGUAGGGUGCAAGCGUUAAUCGGAAUUACUGGGCGUAAAGCGUGCGCAGGCGGCUUUGCAAGACAGAUGUGAAAUCCCCGGGCUCAACCUGGGAACUGCAUUUGUGACUGCAUGGCUAGAGUACGGUAGAGGGGGAUGGAAUUCCGCGUGUAGCAGUGAAAUGCGUAGAUAUGCGGAGGAACACCGAUGGCGAAGGCAAUCCCCUGGACCUGUACUGACGCUCAUGCACGAAAGCGUGGGGAGCAAACGAGGAUACGAA
rnacentral:rRNA from 1 species